rnacentral:rRNA from 1 species
AGAGUUUGAUCCUGGCUCAGAUUGAACGCUGGCGGCAUGCCUUACACAUGCAAGUCGAACGGCAGCACGGGGGCAACCCUGGUGGCGAGUGGCGAACGGUGAGUAACAUAUCGGAACAUACCCUAGAGUGGGGGAUAACGUAGCGAAAGUUACGCUAAUACCGCAUACGAUCUAAGGAUGAAAGUGGGGGGAUCUUCGGACCUCAUGCUCAUGGAGUGGCCGAUAUCUGAUUAGCUAGUUGGUGAGGUAAAGGCUCACCAAGGCGACGAUCAGUAGCUGGUUUGAGAGAACGACCAGCCACACUGGAACUGAGACACGGUCCAGACUCCUACGGGAGGCAGCAGUGGGGAAUUUUGGACAAUGGGGGCAACCCUGAUCCAGCAAUGCCGCGUGAGUGAAGAAGGCCUUCGGGUUGUAAAGCUCUUUUGUCAGGGAAGAAACGGUGAGUUCUAAUAAAGCUUGCUAAUGACGGUACCUGGAGAAUAAGCACCGGCUAACUACGUG